AGGCGGUCCAUCACGUCUGAGUGUGAAAGUCCAGGGCUCAACUCUGGGAUGGCCUUGGAAACGGGUGGACUUGAGGGUCGGAGAGGUAGGGGAAUCCACGUGUAGCGGUGAAAUGCGUAGAGAUGUGGAGGAAUACCAGUGGCGAAGGCGCCUGACUGGACGAAACCUGACGCUGAGGCGCGAAGGCGUGGGGAGCAAACAGGAUUAGAUACCCUGGUAGUCCACGCGGUAAACGAUGAGUGCUAGGUGUCGGAGGGUACCACCUCCGGUGCCGAAGGAAACCCAAUAAGCACUCCGCCUGGGGAGUACGGUCGCAAGACUGAAACUCAAAGGAAUUGACGGGGGCCCGCACAAGCAGUGGAGCAUGUGGUUUAAUUCGAAGCAACGCGAAGAGCCUUACCAGGGCUUGACAUCGUCGUGACCGGUCUAGAGAUAGGCCUUCCCUUCGGGGCACGAUAGACAGGUGGUGCAUGGUUGUCGUCAGCUCGUGUCGUGAGAUGUUGGGUUAAGUCCCGCAACGAGCGCAACCCUUGAUCUGUGUUACCAGCGCGUAGAGGCGGGGACUCACAGAUGACUGCCGGUGACAAACCGGAGGAAGGCGGGGAUGACGUCAAAUCAUCAUGCCCCUUAUGUCCUGGGCGACACACGUGCUACAAUGGGCGGAACAAAGGGAAGCGAGACCGCGAGGUGGAGCGAACCCCAUAAAACCGUUCGUAGUUCGGAUUGUAGGCUGCAACUCGCCUG
rnacentral:rRNA from 1 species